UUUAAACAUAAUAUAUGUAGC
rnacentral:piRNA from 1 species